CACACAGAUUGAUCUGGCUCAGAUUGAACGCUGGCGGCAGGCUAACACAUGCAAUCGAGCGGAUGAAGAGAGCUUGCUCUCUGAUUCAGCGGCGGACGGGUGAGUAAUGCCUAGGAAUCUGCCUGGUAGUGGGGGACAACGUCUCGAAAGGGACGCUAAUACCGCAUACGUCCUACGGGAGAAAGCAGGGGACCUUCGGGCCUUGCGCUAUCAGAUGAGCCUAGGUCGGAUUAGCUAGUUGGUGAGGUAAUGGCUCACCAAGGCGACGAUCCGUAACUGGUCUGAGAGGAUGAUCAGUCACACUGGAACUAAGACACGCUCCAGACUCCUACGGGAGGCAGCAGUGGGGAAUUUGGACAAUGGGCGAAAGCUGAUCCAGCCAUGCCGCGUGUGUGAAGAAGGUCUUCGGAUUGUAAAGCACUUUAAGUUGGGAGGAAGGGCAGUAAAUUAAUACUUUGCUGUUUUGACGUUACCGACAGAAUAAGCACCGGCUAACUCUGUGCCAGCAGCCGCGGUAAUACAGAGGGUGCAAGCGUUAAUCGGAAUUACUGGGCGUAAAGCGCGCGUAGGUGGUUUGUUAAGUUGGAUGUGAAAGCCCCGGGCUCAACCUGGGAACUGCAUUCAAAACUGACANAGCUAGAGUAUGGUAGAGGGUGGUGGAAUUUCCUGUGUAGCGGUGAAAUGCGUAGAUAUAGGAAGGAAACACCAGUGGCGAAGGCGACCACCUGGACUGAUACUGACACUGAGGUGCGAAAGCGUUGGGGAGCAAACAGGAUUAGAUACCCUGGUAGUCCACGCCGUAACGAUGUCACUAGCCGUUGGGAGCCUUGAGCUCUUAGUGGCGCAGCUAACGCAUUAAGUUGACCGCCUGGGGAGUACGGCGCAAGUUAAAACUCAAAUGAAUUGACGGGGGCCCGCACAAGCGGUGGAGCAUGUGGUUUAAUUCGAAGCAACGCGAAGAACCUUACCAGGCCUUGACAUCCAAUGAACUUUCCAGAGAUGGAUUGGUGCCUUCGGGAACAUUGAGACAGGUGCUGCAUGGCUGUCGUCAGCUCGUGUCGUGAGAUGUUGGGUUAAGUCCCGUAACGAGCGCAACCCUUGUCCUUAGUUACCAGCACGUAAUGGUGGGCACUCUAAGGAGACUGCCGGUGACAAACCGGAGGAAGGUGGGGAUGACGUCAGUCAUCAUGGCCCUUACGGCCUGGGCUACACACGUGCUACAAUGGUC
rnacentral:rRNA from 1 species